GCCGGGCAUGGUGGCGGGUGCCUGUAAUCUCAGCUACCUGGGAGGCUGAGACAGGAGAAUUGCUUGAACCCAGGAGGCGGAGGUUGCAGUGAGCCGAGAUCACGCCACUGCACUGCAGCCUGGGUGACAGAGCGAGAGUCUGUCUCAA
rfam:Homo sapiens chromosome 12 genomic contig HG1362_PATCH, GRC reference assembly FIX PATCH for GRCh38.